AAUAGAGAAGGGGCGAGUCGGAGCUGAGAGCCUGAGAGGCCUCCACGAAGUCUAAUUUUCCACUCCUGCGGAAUCAAACUUGCCCACACCUCACACACACUCCCAGUCUCCCACACACACUCUCUCUCUCUCAAUACUUCUCUUCAAUCUCACAUAUCUCUUACACAGUAUACAAUAAUCACACCAUAAUAGUAACUAUAAAUUAAUAAUGAUGCGAUCCUUACUGAGAGAGAAUGGAUUGAAAUCUUGAUACUAGAAUGUGAGCUGGUUAUAGCCGUUCAUUAUUUCAGCCUCUGCUGCCAAUAAUAUUGGGUCGUGAUGUUAGUGCUGAAGUCGCUGAUGUUGGAAGUUCUGUCAAGUCACUUCAUGUUGGCCAGGAAAUAUUUGGUGCUCUUCAUCCAACUGCUGUGUGGGGUACCUAUGCAGACAAUGUUAUUCUUUCUGAAGGAGCUGCAAAAAACAUGUCCGCAUGCUUUGAUGGCCUCGCAUACAGGACACUUAAGCUUAGCAGCUUCAUCUUCAGCUUCCCUUGCAGCUUCCUUUGCAGCUCUUCUAUUCUAUAUAAUUAACAACAUAUCAAAUUAACAAGCAUACAUAUUAUUAAAAAUAGCAAUUUAUAUUGAUGAUUUAUGUGAACAUUAUUUUAUGUUAGAUUAUAGCAGUUAGUUUACCCUACAUCAAAAUAUCAAGAUUACAUAUGUAAAUGCAUCUUACAUAUUCCAAUUACUUUUCAUUUUUUGAAUUCAUAAAAUUGCUAAAAAUCUUCAAUUUUAUGAUUGUGACUACUUUUCAGUCAAUCAACUUCAACCUGAAAAUUGGAGCAUUUUCUUCAUUGCUUGAGUAUGUAAUUGAUCUGCAUCUGUGUUAAUCUUACCUGUGAAUGAAAAAUAAAAAUAUUAUUUCAAAUCAGUCAGUUGCAAUUACAAUACUAACACAAUCAAACAAAUUAGUUGAUCUAUUUAAGCAAUAAUUACCAACUAAGUAUAAGUCGAUAUAACAAAAACAAUCCACACAAAGGUGUUGGUUGAAACAUGACAUAAUUAACAAUCAAUAUUAAAUAUUUUGAUAGCUGAUAGAUCUAAAAAAAAUAUAAGUUUUAAAAUUUAUAACUAUACAAUAAUAAAUCUUAAAACUUUAAUAUUGGGUGCUUAUGUGCGCAUACAUGUGUGUCUAUAUAUAUAUUAACUACGUAAUUAUGAAUGAUAGAAAUCUGGUUACUUGCAUAAAUUGAUAUAUAUCUCAUAACGUUAAAGAUACUCUGACCGAUUCGAUGUAAUUGUGAGUGUAAAAUUUAGAUCUAAACUAAAUAAACAUAUAAUAGAAGAAGAAUUACUUGCAAGAUACCGAGAUGAGCCGACCCAAGAUGGUUUCAUCACCAUUUUCAUUCAUUUACGAUUGUGAACAAAAAAAAUUAUGAUCGACGAUCGGUUAUCAUACAUAUAUUAAUUUAUGAAGGUCACUCGAAAUUGGAAUGAAAGGGUUCUAGAUCUAGAAAAUAAUAUAUUUUACACAUAUGAUGUGUGUUAUGUAUGUGUUAUUGUGUUCCUAUGUGUGUGGAUGGGUGUAUAUAUAUAUAUGUGAAAUGGCUUUGCAUUUAUGUUUUGUAUAAAAAUCGUACGUUUUUUUUAACAUAACAGAUCUUGUGGAUGAUUCUAGAUGUAUCCAGAGGCGGGGAAGGGCCUAUAUUGGGCUGAGAUAAUGUUUAGGCCCAUUGUUAAUAUUUCACACAAUGUAUAAUGUGAGUCAUUGUGAAAAAGAUAAAUUUAGGCCUAGUUUGGUUUGUUGAAAAUCAACCCCGAAACUGCAAGGAAGGUAAAUUAAAGUACGAGAGAAUUUGUAGUUAGUAUAAAAUGGAGGAACACACUUACACACUACACUCACUAAAAAAAAUAGGCGAAACAACUGGAGAAAUCCGAUGUACUCCUGAUUACAAAAAGGAAGGGCAUUAUAGUGCUAAAAAAUUGUUGGAUAUGGAAGCCUUGCACUUAGAUGCUACAUAUGCAAAAUGCAACAUAUGAAAGGAGUUUGUUCCUGCUUCCUGAAACUGUCUCUGAGUGAACAAGACAGAAUAUCAACGCGCCCGCUUAUAAUGGUGAAAUCUUGCUAGGGCUGUGUAACAAUAUCAAUAGGAAGUCAGUUAUAGUUGCUGACAAAGUUAUGGGCAAGGAGUAGAUAUUGUGUUGCAGAUGGUGGAUGACCCGUUACUUAAGCCAAAGUAUUCUUGUUUCAGAAUUCGAAGAAGGUAUCACUUCAAAUCAUAUCCUUUUAAGCUAGUGAAAAGAACAAGCUGACUGAACCUCUAAUAUUUUUACCAAAACAUCUUAUGACCUGCAGUAAUCCUGUAAUGUUUAUUGCUUUUUUAAUCUUACAGAAUUAAUAAUAAUCUAUGCCGAACACAGUGUAUGAUGAAUAAGGGUUUAAGCAAUGAUCCAAAAAUGCUUUGGUAUGAAUUUAUGCUUCUUUUCCCAGUAGGGAAAUAUAUCUUUCAUGCUUCAUUUCUAUCAUGAUUUUCUGCAGGCAAAGGAUUUUAGUGAUAGGUGGAGGAGGAACCGUAGGUUUUGCUGCAGUUGAGCUUGCUGGCGGCAGACUGUCUCAUAUGUAACAUAUUCAUGAAUACUGUUUCAGAAAUUAAACUCUCAAACUGAAAUUUUUGAUGCAAAUUAUAAACAAUCAUUUGAUGGAUUUAAUGCAGUUGUAGCUUGCUGUCCGCUGUAAUACAUUAAAUUCUAAUAACCUUAGUCAGUUUGUUGCCCUCUCCAUGGCCUGAGCACUUAACCGAUCUUAGUAAGUUUGUUGCUCUCUCCACGGCCUGAGCACUCACCAAUGAAUGGAGGAAAAUAUGAAGAAAAGCUAUAUUUGAGCUAAAAUAUAGACCGGUAGAAACUGCAUCUGCUUCCCUGCAAAAGUCAGCAACAAUUGAAUUUGUGGAGGACCAUAUCAUAUAUAUUACUAUUCUCCGAAAGUAUGGAUAGCUCGAGUGGUUUUGCCGAUCUCUUCUCAAUUGCCUCUAUAUAUAGCACAUCUGGAUGACCAGUACCCCUCGUUGUCAGUCCAGCUUUAUUGUAUGGGAAUAUAUGACAUGAAAAGACCAUCCACUUGAGCUAGCUGCAUAUGUACGCAUUUCAUAUCAAGCUUUUCUUUCCCUUCUGCAAUGGUGCACAAUGUAGAUCCCUUCAACAUUUUCAUCAUCUAGUACACCACCUGAAAUGCCAAUGCUUGAAUGACAUAUAGAAUAUUAAAAGCAACGACAUCAAAUAAAAAAGGUAGAUUGCUUAGCACCAAAAUCUCUUCAUCUCAAGUUAAGAACUGAUAAUUUUUCUUGUUUAUUAUAGUCGAUAUUGUAACAAGUGAGCCAAGAGGAUCAAGACUAUGAAAAUUAUAGGUAUGUACCGAGAAAGAUAGAUAUGUAAAAUUAUCAUAAUACAGUUUCAGAAAUUAUUCGUUCUAACUGAAAAAUUAAUACAAACUCCUGUUCAUUGUCAAAGACAUUCUAUAAGCACAAUCCAUUUAGGAUGUACAAGAUUUUUCAUCAUAUUUGAAUUUCUUUUGCUAUAGUUAUUGGUGACACAGACACAAACAUGCAUAGAGUUUGCUUUUCUUUAGAGAGAGGGAUUUCAGUUUCUAUUUCUCUUCACAUUUUUUCGUUCAAUUUCCUGCAUUCCAAUACUUGCAAUCAAAUGGAGCCUAACUAGAGUAUUUGUUACUAGUUUCCUUUACAGAAGGUCAAGACGUCAAAUGUGUGUGCAUGUCUCUGUGUUAUGAAGUGAUUAAUUAGCAUCUUAGUGCAAUGUAUUUUUGAUGUAAAUUCUUGUGUUCUGACAUGCUUGUUCCAGUGUCCAUUUUAAUAAAUUGUAAGCAGGGAAUUGCGAGUUCUUCGUAAGACAGUGGCCAUAGAUUAAAAUACAGGAGCUGCGUCCAUAGGUUAAUGGAAUUAGAUAUAAGUUUGUCUGCAACUUUGAUUCAUUUUGCUCGGAAUUGGAUUGUAUACUGCUAUAGCGGUAUCUUCCUCAUUCCCUUUACAUUUCCAGGAGGUCGAGCAUGUUUCGGGUUUUAUAAUAUUGUUCAUCACUGACUUUCAACAUACAGUACCUUUUGGGUUUCGCUAUUUAGAUACGGGAAUAGUAAAGAAAUGCCUAACAUGCUCAUAUGUAUCGACUUGUUAACACUUCUGCUCCAUCUAAAAGUACGUCAAAGCUUAUUGUUCUCUACCUGGACAGUUAUAAUACUUUUUAAUCUUUCCGAUUCCAUGAUAAUACAUGCCAAACACCAUGAAAAAUGAAUUGGGAAUUUAAGUAAUGAUCCUAGAAGGAUUUGAUAUAGAUUUAUGCUUCUUUUCCAGUGAGGAAAUAUAAUUUAGAUGCGUCGUUUCUGUAAUGAUUUUCCACAAAGGAUACCAGUGAUAGGUGGAGGAACCGUGGGCUCUUGAACUGCACUGGUUUUGCUGCAUUUCCCCUUGCUGUGGCCUCAGGCUGUCAUGUAUGAACUAGAACUACACUUUGUAUUGAUCGAAUUUUGGCAGAUGAUGCUGAGCAGGCUCUUGACAAGAUGCCUUUCUUUUCUUUCUUUCUUUUUUUUUUUUUUUGUUUUGAAUAACAGUAUAUUGAAGUGACCAUGAAAGGGCAUUUGACACUGUAUAUGACAUUGCAGAUGUCUACACACUGUACACUUUUAUUUAUCAAAGCCACAUGGGUAUCUCUUUUUGCAAGUAAAGGAUAUUCAAGUUCAAGUCAACAAAAAAAAGGAAAUCCAGUUAUAAAACUGAAAAUGAG